AUGCCAUAAAACUUGUCAUUAAAAAUUGGGUAGAUUAUAUUUCAUUUUCUGAAGUUUAAGUGCAAUUACAAUUUUAUAUAAUAUUUUUAAAAUAUUUUAAUUUCAUACAUUUACUUAUCUUUUAUUUCAAUACCGUACUCUUGUUAACUAAUCUGUUAACUUAACCGUUAACUAAUAACAUGGUAAAUAUAGAAUUCACAUUUUUAAUGAUGUGGCAAAUAAAAAAAAUUAAAUAUUACAAAAAAAUUUAAUUUAAAAAGGCCAAAAAAAAGAAAAUGCCCUACUUGUCCGUGGACCUCCACCGCUUCCUUCCCUUCUCCGACUCAGCUGCUGGAAUCAAUCAUACAUCCAGCGCUCCCAUUUCGGUACGAACCAACCCUGCAAAUCAGCUACCAACCCUGCAAAUCAGCUACUCCACUCCUCCUCCCACUCCUCUCUGAUUCAAUUAUACAUCCUCCAUUUGAGCUAAAGAAGCCCUCUCUUCGUACUCCGCUCGCAUCGAUCGAAUCGCUCAACAAACCCGAUCUGGUUUCUCUUCGACGACUUUUACAGCCGCCAGCUCCCUCCUCUUCUCUUCUCCGCCACCGAAACCCUAACCCCUUCGUCACCAACUUUCAGCUCUCCUGCCUCAUGCGCUUGAAUCUCCCCGCGGCAAAUGGCGAUACCUCCUCUUCUUCUCUCUGUCUUGAGUUACAUAUGGUAAUGUUGUACCAAUUUGGAUGUAAAAUUGUGGAAUUUGAGGCCACAUCUGUUGGAUUUUGUUUCGGCCUUGGACGAUUCCGUGGUGAAAUCAGCCUCUGAAAAGGCUUUUUGGUCUCUCCUCGAUAUCUCGAAGGCCAUCUCUGAGCUCACAGUUCUCAAAGGCGUGGUUUGGGCUACCAUAUCCGCCAUUCUCGCAGUUAAUGCGCCCGAGGUGUCGCCUUUCAUGUCCGACGAGCUAUGGUUGCAGCUCUGGGAAAAUCCAAGACUAUCAAACAGUACCUGUUAUUUUCAAAUAAAUUGCAGAUCUGGAGUUGGAGAAGGGAAGGAGGCGGUGGAGGUCCACGCAGAAGAAGGGCCCUUUUCUUCUUUUUAAAUUAACUUUUAUUAAUAGUUUACUUUUAUUUGCCAUGUCACUAAACCUGUGGACCUCGAUUCGCCACAUCAUCAACUUAACAGCUAAAUUAAAAAAUUAUGUAACGGAUGUAUAAUAUUGAAUUAAAUGAUAAGUAGCUGUAUGCGAUCGAAAUAUUUUAAAGA